CUGUUAGUUUUUAGGUGUUACAAGAGAGUCUCAUCCACUUUUUCCCAAAAUUAAGAAGCUGACUAUUAAGAUAGCAGUUCCCACCCUGAAAAGGUAAAAUAUAAAUAAGCUGGGAGGUGGAAGGCUUAGGAACCUGUCUUGAGGUCAUGCCAAGCUCUGCAGUGAAGCCCAGAUAACCACAAGUGACAGCGUUUGAAGCAAGACACAACUGGCUGUGAUCAUCUCCUUGUGAGAGUUUGUGUGGGGUGUCUAUAUCGUGUCCAUCGUGUUUUUCACUGCAUCUAUUUCUUCAACCUGACUCUUUCUAUCCUGGAAGAAGUAGUGGCACGGGGUGCUGCUCACAGCCAUGCCUCACUAUUAGGGCUCAGGGAGCUGCUGGCAGGGCUGGCUCAGGCCUUCAGCCAGAGUGAGGCCCCUGGCCACCUCACCUUGUACCUAUGGGUCAGGAGGGUGUGUUGCAUUCUUUCUAAGUGUCACUGGGAAAAUAAGCAUGAAGAGAACUGUAAAAGAAUCACUUGGAUUGCAGAGACAGCUUUCCGUGUAAACAUGAUAUCUUAUUUAAUGGCUGUGAGUGUUCUUUGCAAUAGAUGGGUGUGCUGUGGGAAGAAAGUGCUUUAACAGUGUCCUUCUGGACCAAUUUUAAACAGAAAACCAGGGCUUUUUAGCAACUAAGUUAUGUGUUGCCUGAGGGACAAAAACACUUCCAGCAUCCAUCCUGCAGUCAUGUGUAAAAUAAGAUACAUUCUAUUGCUGUAUGCAUUGUGGUCAGUUUCUGAUGGUUCUGAAAAAGAUAUUUAAUAUAUAAUUAUGAAUUUUGAAAUCCUUUAAGGCAUUAAUUAAACUGGAAAACGGGGAUCUGUAUAUCAGUAAAGACAAAUAUUUCAGAUGAAAAGAUUAAAAACAUAGUCAAAGUAUCUUAUUUUAUUUUACUUUAUUUUACUUGGUUUUGUUUUUACAAACGUGCACUUCAAAUCCAACUUUUCUCUAUACGUGUAUGUCAUUGCCCUCUACUGGGCAGAUUCAGAAUAACUUUUGGCAACGCUGCCUGCUUGAAGUCGGUGACUGUUACUUCAGCGUAAUCAGAAGGGGAAUGCCUCCACAUUCCAAGUAUUAAACAAACAUGUGGGAACAUCUCUGUAAGGUGGGUAGGUCUGUCUUUGUGUUCUGUGCUUUUGGCCAGUAGUUUUCUGUUUUCACUUUGUAACAACAACGUUUUAAAAACUGAUGUUUUGAGAUAUCCGUUCAUUUUCUGGAAAGUUAUGCGAGGUAAAACUGCUUAUCUUUAUUAUAAGCAUUUAUAUGGGGUGGAUGUGGAAAAUUCUUUUUUGGCUUGUUAAAAACUCCCAAACAUUUCAUAAAAUAAAAGGAUUCUGAAAAUGACGUUGGCAGUGAAAAUAGAACUGUAGUGAGUAAUCUACUCUUGUUGUAGUUCAUGGCUAGGUCAAUGUCAUCUAUUCUAAUCCUUAAAAUGUUUUCCAUAAAGCAGAUUAGAAUGGGU
rnacentral:lncRNA from 7 species